AUUAAAACAACCAAAACGUUGGGAAUUUAAAGCUUUUGGAUUUGAAAUUACGUUAGGCUUUUAAAUAGCUUUUUGUCCAGAUAGGUUCAUGUGACUCAAGAUCUUGGAAAGAGAAUGAUCCUAAAAAUGAUAUUUGUAUUUGUUGGUAUGAUUUUAAAAGGUGAAAUAGAUGAUCAGUAUUUCGAAGAUUUUCCUUUACCAAGCAAAAUGCUCUGUUUUAAAUGUUGAAAAAUCAAAUUCGAACUACAUCAAUACGUAGCUACUACACAUCCUACCCUCAUGAAAUAAAUUUCACAUUCUGGAAAAAAAGGAAUGUAUCUUCUUUAUAAGUAAAACAAACAAACAAACAAAAAAGAGUUCAUAUAAAGUGCGUGCAUUUGUUGCCUGGUUAUUUCCUUUGAAUUACCUCAAAAAUUUUGAAUCUGGUAAAGUAACACUAUAGAAUUUCAGACAAUAGAUAUUACUGGUGAGGAUUAUUGAUGUGAUUCUUAAAAGUUUUUAAUUACCUUAUAAAAUCUGUGAGUUCCUACCAGAUUUGUUAAGAGGAUACAUUUUUAGGGAAUAUUGAGGGUUUAGAUGCAUAAAGCCCAAUUUUUUUUUUUUAAUGACAGCUAGUAGAUUGUAAAUUCUAAGGUAGACACAACUCUUGGAGGAGGGAGGUAGUGUAGUUUUUCAUUUUUGUGUCCUCACAACCAAACAAAAUGCCUUGAAAAGUAUAGUAGGUGCUCCAGUGUUUGAGUUGAACUAAAUAUGACUUUCUUAUACUUAUGUUGUUAUUGCAUUAAGCAGUGAAGUUUGUUGAUGCAAUGGAAACUGAUUAUUGAAAUCUCAUUUUUAACUGACUAAAAGAAAAAUAGUAAUCUUUAUUUUCCUCAUUAAAUCAUGUGUAAACUUUGUCUUUUAAUAGAGAUUGCCAUUUUAAGUUUUGUUCAUAGUCUAAUAUUCUACCAAGGAAAACUAGUAUUAGCACAUGGCAAUUGGAACAUUUGACAUCAAGACAUUAACAUUUUUGAUACAUAGGAAUUUAGUGCAUUUCUGGAAUAAACAUUUGUUUUUGGAGACAGUUCCAAAAAAAUGACAACUUGGAUUUUUUUUUUUUAGUUUAUGUGCAUAAAAGAAGGUAUCUGCAAAUUUCUCUAGUGAAAACUAUUGAUUAUAUUUGAUGGUCAUAUUCUAAACCAGUGGUUAACCUUUUUGGUAUCAUGGACUCCAGCAAUAUGGUGUUGCCCAUGGACUCCUCAGAAAAUGAUGUUGUCAAAUGCAAAAAAUGCCCAGGAUUACAAAAGAAAUCAGUUUAAUUGAAAUAAAGAUGUAAUUUUGUCCCAUCCAAGUUUAUAUACUCCCUGAAAUCUAUCCACAGAUCCUUAGGGGGUUUGUGGGCUCUAGGUUAAAGGUUUCUCCUUUAAAGUGAUUUUUGUGCUUUUUUAAUAACCCUAGCUAUAAAACUAUUAGGCUACUUAAUAAUUUCUCAAGUUACCUUUACAUAUGCAAAUUUUGAAAUUUGAAAUGACUAAUAAUAUGAUGAAUAACAUUUAAAAAAUUGACUCAAUUUCUACCAACAACUAAAAGCCUUCUUUGUCAGGCAACUCACUUGCGACUGGAAAUUGCAGACAAAAGUACUAAUAUGUAUUGGUGAAAUGAGUUUUCUAUGUCAAUAAAAUAAUAGGUCAAGUUAAUAAAAAGUUAGUGAUAUAAACUUUAUAGAAAGAUACAUGUUUGAAAAAAAAAGUUUAAUUCUGAAACAUCUGAAAAGAUGUUGAGAAUCAAAUAAAAAAUUAUUUGAAUCAAGCACAUUUUUAAGGUUGCCAGUGAAAAGAUAAUUUAGCCAUAAGCAACUGGGAAUGAAUGUGUAUUUCACCUAUGCUUUUGUCCCCCCCCCCCAAGAUUUUUUCCUUUAAGUUUCUCUUUAGUCUAUAGGUAAUCUUGUUGACAGUAAUUCUUUAAAAAUUACAAACUUUUGUAAUAUUGUACUAUUAAGCAAAUUACUAGGAUAACUAAAAUACAGUUCUAUAUUAAGUUCAACACAUGUCAGGAAGGGUGACUGUGACAAAAGAUACUCAGAAUUUGUUCCCCUUAUGUUUGCCUCACUUGCCCAUUUAAAAAGUAAUAUUUUGACCCCUUGCAUUGACACUGAAACAUGAUUAUUAUGUUCAAGAAAACUUUUUUCAAACCAAAAAAGAGAAGUUUAAAGCAGAUGACUUUUAUUAGAUUUUAAAAUAUAGCUUUUUUACUACUUUAAUUUCUGUUCUGUUUAAAAGAUUUUCACAUAUUGCUAAAUUCAGCUGCAAUGUCAAUAAACCUGGAUACCUACAUUUUACAUUGUGUUUUUGUUUUUGUCUUUAUUUCUUAAUAUUUAUUUUUAAAAACCUUUACUUUUUGUGAUUAAGACAGAAGAAGAGCCAAGGGCUAGGAAAACAGAGUUAAGUGACUUUCCUAGGGUCACACAUCGAGGAAGUGCCUGAGGCCAAAUGGAGAGUAUUUCAAAAUAGUAUUUGAUAAUCUGUUUUUAAUAUUUAACUCUUCACUUACUUUGGAAAUACAUUUUUUGGCCAAAUCCUUAACUUUUUUUUUUUUGAGGACUUGAUGUAACAUAUUAAAUUGAAUAUUAUUCUUUUGAAAUUUAGAUUGUUUUGAAAUUUUAGAUACCAAAUUUGUCAUUUGUUUAAUUUCCAGAUAACAUUUCAGUUCCAGCCCUUUUAAAUUAAACUUAUUUUGUUAGUAGCUGUGCAGUAUCUAUUUUUUAAAACAUUUUUGUUCAUGGCUGUCAUUAGUAUUUUUCAGUCUGUGACCUACAUAUGUCAGUGCAAUUUAAGAAUUGUCAUAACAUUUUAACUACUAACUUCAUAUUGUACAUGUGUUAAUGAGAUUAAGGAUGCUAGUAAAAUCAGUAUCUUGGGGUGCUGUUUUUUUAAUGCAAAAUAUUAAGAGCAAAAAGAUGAAUUUCUUGAGGGAAUUGUUAAUUGGAUGUGGUAAUCCAUAUAUAUGGUUGAUUGCCUUCAUUACUUAAAAUUCUGUGUUCACUUAUUUAGAAUUACAACAAGUGCAGAGGUGAAUUGUAGAAUUCAUUAAGUAGCUCCUUAAAUCAAAUGAAACCCAGUAAGAGCUUGUGACACGGCAUGAAUACUAUUCCUCUAUUUGGAAACUACUGGGAGAACUGAAAUGAUUAGCUGUGUCCUUUGGGGUCAUUUUCCUACUUUUAUAACUAAGUGAUUUUAUUUUUCCUCUGUAUUAUUUAACAGACAAAUAUGAUUGAUUCUAAAGUAGAAAGUCAUCAACCUGUUAGAGAUGUUAUUCUAUAAUCAUUUUUGUAUCAUUUUUAUAUUCUGCUUUAGUGGAUCUGGGAUCUCAUUAAUGUAGGUACUCCCUCUAAUCAUACUGACCAUUACUCCUUCUGUUUCUGGUUUGAUUUUUAUUCAUAUCUUCCUCAAAAUCCUCUAUAGAAUAUAUACAUGGUAUUGGAUGAUUUCAGAGGGGUCUUUUAACAUUAUAAGGAUACCAGUUCAUCCCUGAAGCUAUUCAUCUUUUAUUGUAACAUGAUCAGCAUAUUAUUUUGAUCAUGUUAUCCCCCCACCCCACCCCAACCCUUGCCUUUUAAUCAAUACAUAUCAGUUCCAAGGCAGAAGAGCAGUAAGGGCUAGGAAUUUGGGAUUAAGUGACUUGUUAAGGGUCGCACAGCUUGGAAGUGUCUGAGAUCAGAUUUGAACCUAAGACCUUUCAUCUACAGGACUGGCUUGUAGCCACCUAGCUUCCCCUCUAUUGGGUAAUCUUGCUAUCCUUUACAUUGCUUCUGGGGUGCAAGUCAUAUUUGGCAGUGUGAUAGUUUCCAUUGGCCUAGAAAACACAUGGGGAAUGGACAUAAUAACUGUCUUCAAAGUUUGAAGAGCUGUCCUUUGAAAAGAUUAGUAGGCUUCUGCUUGACUUUUGUGGCAAGAACUAGAAGCAGUGAGUUGAACUUUCUAAGAGAUAUGUUUAGGCUGGAUAUGGGAAAGAACCUCUUAAUAAAAUUGUCACGGAAUAGAAUGAACAGUCUUGGGGAGUGGUAGGUCCUCCCUCACUACCAGCCAAUCAAUCAAUAAGCAUUUAUUAAGUUUCUAAGCAAGGUGCUAUGGAUCUAGGACAACAAAGACAUGAGUUCAAUCAAAAGCCACCUUUUUGAUGUAUGAUGGAGGAGAUUCUUAUUCGGAUUUGGGUUGUACUACUUGACUAAAUCAUGUAACUUUUUUGGACCUCAAUUUCUUCAUCUAUAAAAUGAGGUUCUCAGUUCUGACCUUCUGUGAUUCUAUGUGAUUGGUCUUUGAUUCAUUCAGAGUUUUUACUUGAAGACUCUGGUGUUCCCUAAUUCACAAUUAUCCAUCAUUGUUGGAAGAGAAUUGGUGUUAAGGUGGGUUUUUGUGUCAGGAAUGAGUAUGAAAUCAUUAAACUCCCUUACAGCUUCCUAAAUGAAAUCUAGCCUGGACUCUUCCUCCUUUUUAAAUUUAGGUCCAGAUCAUUAUCUGUUGGUUGCCCAUCAUUUGCAUGUGACAGUCUAAGCAAGGGGCCUUCAUCUUUUUUUCCCCCUGUGUAGCUUGUUUAGGCAAAUUUCCAUCGAAUAAGUGACACUUAUUGAGGAGGAUUUUUUUUUUAUCUUGAUUGAAUCAGUGUAAUAAAUGUUAUUCACAAACAGGAGGAUGUAUGAAACUUUGCCAUUUGUAGGUAAUUAUUAUUUGAUUUAGACUAUUCAGGAUAUACCUGUGAUAUUUUGAAUUCCUUUGGUGAGCAUAUGUAUUUUAUGCAUUGUGAACAAGAGUGAAUGGUUAGCCAUGUUAACUGAAUAGCAGAUUUGAGUAGUAAAAUCAAGGAAUUUUGUUGUCUUCUUUCUUAAAGAUUUUGAACUCUAAUGGAGAAAUUAGUAGGACAUCCUUUCUAAGAAUCUUUAAUAUAAUAGUUACAUGUAUAUUGUUCAUGUAUCCUGCUGUUACAGAGGACAGACUAGUGGAUUGGAUUAAAAUUUUAGUAUCUUUGUGACUUUGGGUACGCCAUGUCAUAUUUCUAACCUAUAAUUUUUUUCCUUUAUAAAAAAAGAGGCUUAAAUUAGCUAUUCUAGAAGGUCUCUUCCAGCUUUCAAUCUUGGGUGAACUGACUUUUUUCUCCUAGCAGAUAACCUGGUGAAGCUUAAUAAAUGUUAAAUAGUUGGGAGAGAGACUAACUUAGCAGGGCACGGGCUUGUGGUAUGAUGUAAUCUUAGUGAAUAAUAGUAGUAUUAUUAUUAUAAUAACUAUAUGUACUAUAUUAUAAUCAGAAAGUUUCUUGGUAGUAUAUUUAUGUUAACUGUAAAGAGUUGUGAAGGUUUUUUUUCCCUCAAUGCUAUCUAAAGGUUAUUAAUUUUAGACUUUAGUGAAUAAUUUAAUACAUUAUUUCUGAAACUCUUGUUGCUUUUUUGAUUGAAUCUUUUAUGUGUGUGAAAAUUGUUGAAACAUUUCCUAGACAGCCUAGAUUAGUCCAGUAGUUUUUAAACUGAGGCCCAAGAAAUAAUUUUAAAUAUUUUGGUAACUAUUUCAGUGUAAUUGGUUUCCUUUGUAAUCCCUUGUAUUUUAUUUUAUGCAUUUAAAAACAUCAGUCUGAGAAGGGGUUCAGAAGCUUCACCUGACUACCAAAUGAAUCCUCAGUACAAAAAAAAGUUGAGUCCUUGGCCUACUCAAUUUUUUUUGCAAUCAAUAAUUGAAAAACAGAAAGUUGGUUGUUUAACUAAAAUAAUAUGACCUGCUGUAGGAAAUUGUGAAGCUUAACUUUUCUCUUUUCAUAUUUUCAUCAUGGAUCUCCUCAAAACAUGUAUGUACCUUUCUCAUAGAGAUUUUUACAAAGAUGAGAAAAUAUGAUGUAUAGAUAUGUAUGUGUCAGUAGUUUUUGCUUUAUCUAGUUCCUUUUUUAUUGCAUGUGAUUUUUUUUCCAUUCUUUUGAUAAUUUCCCUUUUAGACAGUCCCUGGCAUAUAGUAAAUACUUAAUAAAUAAUUAUUGGUUUAUUGAAAAAUUUUAAAUGAUCCCUCAAUGUUUUCAAGAUUGUGUUCUCUCCAGAAUGGAUUUCCUUACUGGAUCUCCAGUCCAGCCACCCUCCCUGACUUUGUCUUAGUUCUUCAUUUAGUAAAUUGGGAACCACAGAUAAAAUGUUAUUAUAAUGAAAUUAAAUCUUUAGAAUUGUAGAAAUGUUGAUGUUUAAUUUUCAGUUUAUUUGUUAUCCUAUGUGACUUUAAUUUUUAAUCUGGGAAUCAUGUGGCUCAUUUGGGUCUGACAACAGCUUUCUGUAUUAUCCCUUCUGCUUUUCCUCUUUUAUGAGGUAAUAAUGUUCAUAAUCUUCCAUUGUCUUCCACUGUAGUGCUUUAUAAAUGAGUUAAAAUAUUUAAAACUUUUACCUUUAGCUGUUCCAUAUCUCCAGUAAAGAGGCCUAGGGUUUGCUACCUAAGGCCAAUUUCUGUGCUUAUGUGAGCUUAUACUAUGUUAAUAAAUACGUUAUGUCUAGAAUUAAUGGAAGUGAUAGCUUUUUUGUGCCCUGUUAAGACUAUAUUUGGACUGUUAUAUUCAGUUCUAGGUGAUCAGUUUUAGGAAGGGCAUCAAUAAGAUGUACGGAAGAGUGCUCUCAUAGUGAGUGGUGUGAUGAAUGGGUCUCAUGUCAAGGAUUGGUUGAUUAAUAUCUGUGUGACCUUGGACAGGCUACUUCACCUCCCUGGGCCUCAUUUUCCUCUUCUAUAAAAUGGGAAGACUUUACUAGAUAGUCUUGAAGACUAUCUACCUCUUAAGUUUGUGAUUCCUAUCACCUUUGUAGAAAAUAAUCAUUUACUCAUUUCUUUUCUCAGACCACGCUAGGUCAUAUUUAAAUAGCAUGCAGUUAAAUUUUUUUAUUAUUCAUUUAAUUAAACUGUUAUACUCUUGUAUAGUUUCUUCAACUACACUUUUUAUCAGUAUAUAGAAAUCUUCUCCCUUCAUAUUUAUCUUUUCUUAUGGCAUAAUAAUAUUUUAUUAUAUUCAUGAAUUUUGUUUAGCCUAUCUCCCAAUGAAUUUGCUUUACAAAAAACUGCUGUGACCUUUUUGGUGUUUAUGGUACUUUUCUUUAAAAAAAAAAAAGCUUUACCUUUCUUUUUAGAAUUAAUAGGCAAAAGAAUUGUAGGUGCUAGGCAAUGGGGUGUAAGUGACUUGCCCAGGGUCACACAACUAGGAAGUGUCUGAGACCAGGACCAUCCAUUUCUAGUCUUGUCUCUCUGUCCAUUGAAUUACCUUAGCUGCGUCCUGCUACCUUUUUUUUUUUUUGCUCUUGAUCAUUUUUGGGAAUAGGCCUAGCAGUGGGCAUUUUCUGGGACAAAGAAUAAGGAUAUUUUUGCCAAUCUUUUACCACUUCAAAUUGGGCUAUCAGUUCUUGGUGUUUAGUUUAAUCAACAUCAAUACUAGAAUUGCACACAGGGAAUAUGGGUUGCCUGGAUAUCUAAGAUGCCUCCUCUCUUCCUGUUCACUAAUGAGAUUGAUUUAUUAUUCUUUUUAGGUGUGGGUGUCAAAACCAUACUUGGCUCAUAAAACUAAUUGAAUAAGUAUUCUGUCUUUGUAGCGUAUAAGCAGGCUUGGUAGCAUUGAGAUUGAUUUUUGGAGGUUUGGAAAUUUUGUUUAUAACUGACAACAAAUGAACUGAUUUCUUAUUUUGAGAAUGAUCUUGGUUAAAUUAUUUCCUGGUUUAUUAGUCUUGAUAUUUUUGCAUAUAUUAUUUUUAAAGUCAUGUUUAUUAGUAUAUAGAAUUGCUUCUUUCUUUGAUUCAAUUUGCUAAAUGGUGUCAGUUUUAUUGACAUAAAAAUUAGCUCUGUUCUGUAAUUUUCAUUGCUUUUCUAUUUUGUUAAUUUUACCUUUUUCUGUUUUCCUGUGGUGUUUUAUAUUUUUUCAAAUGUAGACCUAAUUACUUUAUUUGUCUUUGCCUCUCAUAAGCCCUGAAAAUUUGACUUUCAGAAAAGCUUUGGCUUCAUCACAUAGAUGAAGCUGAUAUAUGCAAUUUUAAAAUUAUAAUUUCCAAUUUAAGAAAAUCUGUUAUUUUUAUAAUUUCUUAAACCCAGAAUUUAAAAAAUUGUUGUUUCAAAGUUUAUGAUAGGUACAUACAUAUAUAUAUAGAGAGACUAAGAAUACAGUAAAUAAAAUUUCUCUUCAAAACUUAUAUAGGUUAUCUUUUAGUUAUUAUUGAGUAUAAUUAUAUAUAAUUAAGUAUAAUUAAUUAAUUAAGUAUAUUAUUAAUCAUUCAUUUUGGUAUAAUAUCUUGUUCUUAUCUUGGUGUGCUUUGAGGAUGUAUUUUUUGGGAUUUCCAUUCCUUUACAACUUUGUGUUCAUUAAAUGUGUUUGCUCACUUCUGUAUUUUUAUUCUUUGCCAGUGUUAUUUUUCUGUGUCUCUGAUUUCUCAGACCAAACUGUUCAUUUUUAAAAGGCAUUGACUUCUUAAAAAUUCUAUAAAAAUAAUUUUAUUAAUCGGAGAGUUUCAUUCCCUUUGGAUGAUUCUCAAAUCUAUGUCUCUAACCCAAUAUUUUUUGUCCAUUUUUCUAUCUCUAGCUGCUUAUUAGAUCUCUCUUAAUUGGCAUAAAAACACCCUAAAUUCAUCUUCCGCUUUAUUGAGAAGCAUAAUACCCAGGUCCAGGGAUAUGUUUGUCCUGGUGUCAUCUGCCUUGGUCAAAUCACAUUCAGAGUGCUUUAUUUACUUUUAGAUGGACAUUGAUGAAUUAGAGAAGUACCAAGAUGCUUAAGUGACUUGAUAUAAAGACAUAUGAAGAUUGGUUUAAUCCAUCAACAAGAUGUAUUAAUCAUCCACAAAGGUGCCCUGGAGACAAAAGUACAAAGACUGAAACAAUCCCUCCUUCCCAGAGCUUAUGUUCAAAUGGAGAGACAACAAGUACACAAAGAGCAUAAAUAUAAAAGGAAUAUAUAUAUAUAAAUAUAUUCAAACUAGUUAAAUCCAAAAUUUUUUGGGGGGUGGGAAGGAGAAGAUUAUUAGCAUUUAGGUCAGAAAGGAAUUAGAGGUGUUUGGCCUGGAGAAGUGAAGAGGAGGGAAGACAUGUUGGUUCUCUUCAUGUAUUUGAAAACUUGUCAUGUGGAAAGAAGGAUUAGAUUUAUUUUUCUUGAUCGCAGAAGACAGAGCAGGCAGCAGAAGAGCAGACAUUACAGAGAUAGAUUUAAGUUCAGUUUAGGGAAGAUUUCUAAUAAUAAUAAUUAUCCAAAAUUGAAGUGGUUGGCUUUGUGAUGGGGUAGAGAGGCAUUGUGGGUAGAUGAGAAUAAGACUAGUGGUUUUCAAUCAAAAGUUGAAUUAACACUUGAUUUUAUUAUAGAGGACAACAUUAUGUUUUGGAGUAGGGAGGGAACCUCCAAGUUUCUUUGCAACUGUGAAUACCUAUGAUUUUCCAAUUGUGUGAUUUGACUGUACUUCUGAAACUUAACAUACUAAAUCUGAGAUCAUUUUUUGCCCCUAAAAUUGUUAUUCUUCUCCAAAUCCUAUUACUGCUAAUGGCAACAUUAUACUCCCAUUUCCCUCCAGGCUUUCAAGCUUACAUUGAUUUAAAUUUUUUUAUAUGCUUUCAUAUCUAUUUAGUUAUUAAAUUAUAGUGGUUAUUUUCCCUUCAUAUUUCUCUUGGAUUAGAAAUUUUUAUAACUCUUAAUACUACAACCUUAGUCAAGACUCUAGACCAGGGUUCCCCAAACUAUGGCCCACAGGCCCCCUGAGGCCAUUUAUCCGGCCCUAACCACACUUCCGGAAGGGGCACCUCUUUCAUUGUUAGUCAAUGAGAGGAGCACUGUAUAUGGCACUGCCGUAAAGCGCGGCGUCAUAUACAGUACUACUUCUGGUGACAUAAUCCUUUGCACGGUGCCUUGUUCUGAGAAUAACUGAAUGAGAAUGAGGCACCUUGCAAAGGAUUAUGUGGCUGCAUGAGGGAAGAUGUCAGCAUGGUGAGUGGUGAUCUGGCGGAGGGGAUUCUACACUGUGUAUACUGCUGCCGGGUAUAAUGGUGGUGGUGAUGGGCCUGUGCAAGGUGUGACGGACCCAUCACAGCCAGCGCUGCAGCCUCUGCUAUCCUAGACAGAGGUAUAUAGAUUUGUUCAUAUUUUUAUUUAGUCUGGCCCUCCAAUGGUCUGAGGGACAGUGAACUGAUCCCCUGUGUAAAAAGUUUGGGGACCUCUGCUCUGGACUCAUUCCUGGGUAUGUAACUAUAACUUAUUUAUCCCUUCCAGCUCCAUUCUUUUUAUACCUGCCAGGAUAAAUUUUUUCAAGAAUUGUUUUAUUUAUUGAACAAAUAGCUUUAGAUCAAUAUUAUUAUUUUAUGUACAAAGAAAGGAUUGUACUAAUUUUUAUCAUGGAAAUCUUUUGGAUUAUCACCUUGCCACCUCCUGAAAGUUAAGCUUAAUUUAAGACCCUUCCUUUCACUGUUUGUUCUUGCUAUUCUUCCAGCUUUGUUAUUUCCUAGUAUAUAUACAACUUCUCUACUUGAACCAGGAUUAAAAGUAUUCUUAGGGGAGAAAAUGGUCUUCUUAUAUUUUCUUAUAGGAAUAUAUAAAAAUUUCUCAUAGGAAUCAUAUUUAGAGCCCAAAUGGGUAAUUUUAGAUGGGCUAUAAUAAUAGAGUCUUUUCUUUUUACAGUUGAGGAAAAAGCUCAGAGAAAUUAAAUGAUUUGCCCAAGGUACUAGAUAGGUUUUAAGUGAUAGAGCUAGGAUUCAUACCAAAGACCUUUCACUCAAAAUCUAGUAUUCUUUCUAUCACAAGAUAUUGAUUUCUUUCUCUCAUUCUUUAGUCCCCUUGUAUAGCAUAUAUUCCUUAUUCUUCUUUCUCAAUCUUUAGAAAUGCUUUAUUUUUCCACUUUUACCAGGGAAUGAGGGGUUUCAUUUAAGUAUCAUCUAGAUACUAGAGACUGAAGCUUUUUAAGCAACCUUCUAAAAAUUGGAACCAUUCUUUUUAUAAAUUUUAUUCCUCUGCUUUCUACCACAAAGUAUACUUAAUAUAAUUUGACUUUUCCUUGAUGAUUCAAGGUCUUAAUUAUGAACAUCAAUAAUUAUACUGAAUUAAAAUACAAUGCAGCAUUCAGAAUAUUAUCAAAUGUCUAGGGCAUCUUGCCUCAACACUAAAUGAUUGUUGAUUGAUUUUUGGAAUUCUUUUCCUUGUGACCCCAAAUAUUAGGGAAAAUAAAUUAGAUAAAAAAGAUUACCAAAAUUGUGUGUAAAACCAGAGCAAAUUACUCCCAAGUGAUCAGUCUUAAGAAUUUUCAGAUAAAUAAAGCUUAAGCACAUGAAUUUUAUAAUAUCUGUUCUGGAUGUUUAGAAACUCUAAAUGUUACUUUGGAUGUUAUAAAAGAUUUUUAGAAUUACUUAUGUGUUCUGAAUUGUAUUCUAGAUAUUGUAUUCUGUUGUAUUUUGGAUAAAGAAGCUUCCAGAAAAGUGACCUCCACAUAAAUUGGAUUAUUUUUCCCCUCUUCUUUGAAGAACUUACAAGAUAUUCCUUUAACACACUUUCCUUUAUUAAUACCACCUGGAUAUUUUCACGCCUUUUUUUUUCCUUUUUAAAAAUUUCCCCCAAUUACAUGUAAAAAUAAUUUCUGGCAUUUUAAAUUUUUUGUCUUUUAAAAAUUUCGAGUCUUGAAUUUUCUUCCUCCUCCCCUGCAGAUGGUGAGCAAUUUGAUAUAGAUUUUUUACAUAUGCAUGGCAUUACAUGCAGCCAUGCAGUUUUUCCCCCCAUAUUAAUCCUUUUGUGGAAGGAAACUCAAAAACAAAUAUUAAGAAAAAAAAUGAAAAAAGUUUGCUUUGAUCUGGAUUCAGACACCUUUCUCUAGAAGCAGAUAGCAUUUUUUAUCAUGAGUCUUCUGGGAUUGUUUUGGAUUGUUGUGUUGCUGAGAAUAGCUGAGAAUUAAUUAUUAUACAGUAUUAAUGUCACUAUGAACAGUGUUUUCUUGGUUCUGUUCACUUCACUUUGCUUUUGUUUAUGUAAAUCUUUCCAGGCUUUCCUGGGAUCCUCUUGCUUGUCAUUUCUUACAACCCAAUGGUAUUCCUUUAUAAUCAUAUGCUACUGUGACUUACUCAGUCAUUCCCCAGUUGAUGGAUAUCACCUCACUUUCCAAUUCUUUGUCCCCACCAAAAAAAGAUGCUUUAAAUAUUUUUGUACACAUAGAUAAUUUUUUUGGGAAUCUCUUUGGUAUAUAAACUUAGUCAUGGUAUUUCUGGGUCAAAGAGUAUGUGUUAUUUUAUAGCUCUUUGGGUGUAGUUCUAAAUUGCUCUCCACAAUGGUUGUAUUGAUUCACAACUCCCUCAACAGUGCAUUAGUGUCUUACUUUUCCCAUAUCCCCUCCAAGUUUUGCAAUUUUCUUUUUCUGUCAUAACAGCCAAUCUGAUAGGAAUUGAGGUAGUACCUCAAUUGUUUUAAUUUGCAUUUGUUCAAUUAAUAGUGAUUCCCCUCCACUGUGAAUCCUCUUACAUGACAGUAAUUUGCCCCAUACUAUUUAAUUUUUUUAUAUCAUUCUAUCAUAUUCAACUCAUAUCCUCACCCUCUGUUUAUCUGUACUCCUUCUAAUGCCCUAAUAAUUACAAAGUUCUUUGGCCUUACAAGAGGCUCCCCAUAUAGGGAUAUACACAGUUUAAUCUUAUUGAAUAUCUUUUGAUUUCUCUUGAGUCUUGUAUUUGAGAGUCAGAUUUUCCAUUUAGCUCUGGUCUUUUCAUCAAGAAUGUUUGAAAGGCCUCUAUUUCACUAAAUAGCCAUUUUUCCUCCCUGAAGGGUUAUCCUCAGUUUUGCUGAGUAAAUGAUUCUUGGUUGAAGUCCUAGCUCCUUUGCUCCCUGGAAUAUAAUAUUACAGGCCUUCCAACCCUUUGAUGAAAAAGCUGCUAAGUCUUGUGUUAUCCUGGCCAUGGCUCCACAAUAUUGGAGUUGUUUCUUUUUAGCUGCUUGCAAUAUAUUCUCCUUGACCUGAUUUGGAAUGUAGUUAUAAUAUUCCUGUGAGUUAUCCUUUUGGGAUCUUGUUCAGAAAGUGAUUGGUGGAUUCUUUCCAUAUAUAUUUUGUCCUCUGUGUCUAGAUAUCAGGACAAUUUUCCUUGAUUAUUUUUUGAGAAAUAUCUAAGCUCUUUUAUAUCAUGAUCAUGGCUUUCAGGUAGUCAUAUAAUUUUUAGAUUAUCUCUACUGGAUUUCCCCCAUGAUAUAUUUCCCAUUUUCUUAUCUUUUUUCAUUCUUUUGACUUUGUUUCUUGAUGUCUCAUGGAAUCAUUAGCUUCUACUUGCCCAAUUCUAAUUUUUAAGGCUUUUUUCUUUCGUUUUCUAGUUUAGUUUAGGUUUCUUUAGUGAGUUUUUGUAGCUCCUUUUAUAUUUGGCAAAUUCUACUUUGUAAGAGUUCUUUUCCUCAGUGAAUUUUUGCACCUCUUUUUCCAAAGGGCCAAUUCUGCCUUUCAAGAAAUUUUUCUCAUCAGUACAUUUUUGUAUAUCAUUUUCCAUUUGACUAAUUCUGUUUUUUUUUUAAAGAGUCCUCUUCUUUGGACUUUUGUGCCUCUUUUAUUGUAAUUGGCCUAUUCUGUUGUUUAGGUUAUUAAUUUCUUCAGUGUUCUGUGUGUGUGUGUGUGUGUGUGUGUGUGUGUGUGUGUGUGUGUACCCCUUUUACCAAGCUGUUGACUUUUUUUUUCAUGAUUUUCCUAUAUCACUCAUUUUUUCCCAAUUUUUAUACCUCUUAUUUUUGUUUAUUCAUUCAUUUAUUUUUUAGCUCUUACCUUCCAUCUUAGAAUCAACACUGUGUAUUGGUUCCAAGGCAGAAGAGUGGUAAAGGCUAGUGUAGUGAUUAAAAUAGUGGGACUUAUAAACUGUGGCAGAUAAAAGAGUGGUUGGCUUAAAUUGUGACCGCAGAAAAUAUGGUUUCAAGACAGUGUCUUGUUUUAAAUCAAAUAUAAGGUGGUCACCAGGGAAAAAUUCCCAAAUAUUAAAUAUACCCAAGUCAACUGGGUUUUAUAGAGAUUUUAAUUAAUACAAAAGAGGAAUUAAAGAAAGGGGGAGAGAGAGAAAGAGAAAGGGAGAAAGAGAAUAAUGAGAAAAAAGGCUAGGCCAGCCUUAAGAGAGAGAGAUCAGUCAGUCUUCAAUCCACUCACCACAAGAUUUGUCCCAAGCUAGAUUCUAGUGUUCAGAGGGACACCAGUUGCCUCCUCCAAUUCAGCUUUUCCCAGCUGAAUCUCUCCAGAGAGAGUUCUUCUGAGACAGCCUGGAGAGAGAGUCUCCUUAGAAGGAGUUCCAGGAGAGCCCCCUUGCUCUCAGCUUCUGAUCUCCUUUUAAAGGGAAUUUUCUCCUAUGUCACCUCCCCUAAGUUCUCACAUCUACCAAUCACAGGAGACCUUUUCCAAAGGACAGGCCAUUCUUAAUUCACACCUAAGUAGGUUUAAACUUUUGAUUAAGUUCACACCUGAAAAACCUUUAUAGGUACUUAGCACCCUUUUGUAUUAGAUCUAAAAAUAGGCACAGCUUAAGAACUUUUGCCUUACUAUAAGUAUGGGUUUAAGUAUUUUUCAUUGUUCAGCAAGGAGUUUCUUCCCCUAAAGCAUGCUUAAGGUAGGUAGGGGUGGAGUAGAGGUCUCACAUUUCUGAUCUAAGUUCCUUCAUUGUUUAAAAUGGGGUCUUAACCAAAUCUUAUGAAGUAGGGUCUGAGAAUUUUUAAGAUUCACACUAAGCAAUAGGGACCAAGUGACUUUUCCAGGGUCACACAGCCAGGAAGUGUCUGAGGUCAGAUUUGAACCCAGGACUCCCAUCUCUAGGCCUGGCUCUCUUAUUUGGUUUUUAAAAUACUAUUUGAGCUCCUCUGUGAAUUCUUUUUGGGCUUGAGAGCAAUUCAUGUUUUUCUUGGAGACUUUGGAUACAAUAGUAUUGACCAACUCUCUGAAUUAAGUUGCUCCUUGACCCAUCCUCUGAUUGAAUCAAGUUAGUGGAUAGGUGAAAGAUAAUGUGGUAUAUUCUCAAGCCAGACUGGGGUCUCAUGACUUCCAGUGUCCUGAGGAACCUUGUCUCUUGUCCCUCAUUACUCCCUGGUGUCUGGAAGAGUCCUCUUGUACAAAGUGAUGUUAGAGUCCUGCAAUUGGAGGCACUUUGGAAAAGGACUUCGCUAAGAGCAUAAAUCUGUGUUGCAAGAGGGAUGGCAGACUUUUUUCCCCAUAGAAUCCAGAGGCCUGACAUUGGCCUGACUUUAGGUCUUUGGAGGAGGCUUAUUAAGGGAACAGCCAGCCACUUGUGGCUAGUGGCCUUUUCUUUCUCUAGCUUGCUUUUUAUUAUUUAAUAAAUACACAUUAAAAUACAGAGAGUUUUAAUUUUAAUUUAACCCCUCUCGUUCAUCCUCUCUUCCUCCUUAACUUUCCUUUCCUUUUGGUUUCCACUAUGGAAUGAAAUAUAUUUUGGUACCCAACUUUCUAGUUGUAUGUAUGUGUGUGUUUAUCAUCUUUGACCAAUUCAGAUGACAGUAAGGUCAAAGUGUUGCCUGUUUUCUCUUUGUAGUCUUUUACUUGCACUCAGAUUAUGUGAGAUAAUUUUCCCAUUCUUGUUUUCCUUCCAUUUUCUUUCCAUAUUUCCUAUAACCCCAACCUCAUAUUGUCUUACACUCCCUUUCUAUUCUUUUAGGAUCAUCACAACAUAAUAAAACCACUCCCAGGCCUUCUUUCUUAUUAGACUUGUGCUAUGAUCCUUGAUGACGAAGCAUUCUGAAGAGACAUCAUCUUCCCCUCUUAUAUUGAAAACAUCUUGUCCUUGUUUAGGCCCUUAAGAUGGGUUGCUCAUGUUUACCUUUUAAUGUUUCUCUUGAUUUCUUUGUGGUUUUAAGUUUCUGCUAAACUCUGGGCAUUUCAAUGCUUGGAAGUCAUCUUAUUUCACUAAAAAUCCAUUUUUCCCCUACAGGGUUAUAAUAAGUUUUGCUAGGUGAGUUAUUCUUGGUUGCUAGUUUAUAUCAUUUGCUUAUAUCAUAUUCAAAUUCUCUGUUCUUUUAUAGUGUUGCCUGCUCAGUUGUGUGUGAUUCUGACCAUAGUGCCUUGGUACUUAAUUUCUUUUUUGUGGACUCUUUGCAGUAUUGUUUCUUUUUUUUCCCCUUUGACCUAAAAGCUCUGUAUUUUGCUCUUGUUUUUGGAAUUUUUUUAAAGAGGCGACUGGUAGAUAAUGUUUUCACUUUGUGCUCUGGUUCUAAGUGUUCUGGGCAGUUUAAUGAUUUCUUUUUUUUUUAUUUGAUCAUUUCCAAGCAUUAUUCAUUUAAAGACAUAGAUCAUUUUCUUUUCCUCCCCCCCACCCCCCAUAGCCGAUGCGUAAAUCCACUGGGCAUUACAUGUUUUCUUGAUUUGAACCCAUUGCUAUGUUGAUAAUAUUUGCAUUAGAGUGUUCAUUUAGAGUCUCUCCUCUGUCAUGUCCCCUCAACCUCUGUAUUCAGGCAGUUGCUUUUCCUCGGUGUUUCUACUCCCAUAGUUUAUCCUUUGCUUAUGAAUAGUGUUUUUUCUCCUAGAUCCCUGCAAAUUGUUCAGGGACAUUACACCGACACUAAUGGAGAAGUCCAUUACCUUCGAUUGUACCACAAUGUAUCAGUCUCUGUGCACAAUGUUUUCCUGGUUCUGCUCCUUUCGCUCUGCAUCACUUCCUGGAGGUUGUUCCAGUCUCCAUGGAAUUCCUCCACUUUAUUAUUCCUUUUGGCACAAUAGUAUUCCAUCACCAACAUAUACCACAAUUUGUUCAGCCAUUCCCCAAUUGAUGGGCAUCCCCUCGUUUUCCAAUUUUUGGUCACCACAAAGAACGCAGCUAUGAAUAUUCUUGUACAAGUCUUUUUGUCCAUUAUAUCUUUGGGGUACAGACCCAGCAGUGCUAUGGCUGGAUUGAAGGGUAGAUAUUCUUUUGUCGCCCUUUGGGCAUAGUUCUAAAUUGCCCUCCAGAAUGGUUGGAUCAGUUCACAACUCCACCAGCAAUGCAUUAAUGUCCCUACUUUGCCACAUCCCCUCCAGCAUUCAUUACUUUCCUUUGCUGUUAUGUUAGCCAAUCUGCUAGGUGUGAGGUGAUACCUCAGAGUUGUUUUGAUUUGCAUCUCUCUGAUUAUAAGAGAUUUAGAACACUUCUUCAUGUGCUUAUUAAUAGUUUUGAUUUCUUUAUCUGAGAACUGCCUAUCCAUGUCCCUUGCCCAUUUAUCAAUUGGAGAAUGGCUUGAUUUUUUGUACAGUUGAUUUAGCUCUUUAUAAAUUUGAGUAAUUAAACCUUUGUCAGAGGUUUCUAUGAAGAUUUUUUCCCAGUUUGUUGUUUCCCUUCUGAUUUUAGUUAUAUUGGUUUUGUAUGUGCAAAAGCUUUUUAAAUUGAUGUAGUCAAAAUUAUUUAUUUUACAUUUUGUAGUUUAAUGAUUUCUUGAGAUAUAUCUAGACUUUUUUUUGUCUUUUCCAGGAAUUCUAGUUGAAUUUGUGCCUAAGUAGUAUUUUUCUUUAAAGUUUUGCUUGUAGAUAUUUAUUUUGGAGUCAUUCUCUUCUGGAUUUGGGUCACAAAGUAUGGUUCCAUCCCUCAAAGAAUUCACAAUAUAAUAGGGGAAACAAUGUGCAAUAUUUAUUUAUGCAUAAGAUUUACAUAGGGAAAAUGAAAGAAUGAAAAUUUUCACUAGAGAUAGAAGAGGGGGAGGAAGGUGUUAGAUUGAAAGGCCUUUUGUAAAACGUGGGAUUUGAGCUGAGCCCCUUGCCCAGGAUAGCAUAGCUCUUAAGUGUCUUGAGGUGAGGUAUAAGCCAAGGUUUGCCUGAUUUCAGUAUCUUGUACACUAUACAUUAUGUCUCUUAACAAGGCACAUGGUAGGUGAUAGUUUUUCUUGUUGCACUUUCUUCCCUCUACUCUACCACCUUGGUUCUGCCCUACCCCCCUUUCAAUCAUUGUUAAAAAUCUUAAGCAGUUUGAUUACAUGAGUUGAGGGAGAUAUAAUUGGGGAUGUAGACUCUAAAUGAUUAUCCUAGUCCAAACAUCAAGAACAUGGAAAUAGGUUGUGAUCAAGGUAAAACCCAGUGUAAUGGCACCGUCGACUAUGGUAAAGGGUGGGGGGAGAGGAGGUAGAGAAAGAAAUAUGAUUCUUGUAACCAAGGAAUACUGUUCUAAAUUGACUAAAUAAAAUUAAAAAAAAAAAAAACUUAAGCAGUACAGGGCCAAGAAUUCUUGCUGGGACCCUCCACUAGUGACCUCUAUCUACAAUGACAUUAACCGUUUAAUACCUGGCCAUCAAAACAACUGUGAAUUCAUCUAAAUGUAAAUCCACUUAGUCUGUAUUACUCCAUCAUCUCUGCAAAUAUAUUAUGAAGUAUUUCAUCAGAAGCAUUGCUUAAAUCUAGGUAAAUUAUAUCUACAAUAUUCCUUUUAUUUACUUGUUUAGUAAUACUAUCACAAAAGGAAAUGUUUUGGCCUUGCUCUCGAUGAAGUUAUACUUCAUAGUAGUAUUCACCAUUUCCUAUUCUAGCUGAUCCUUACUCAUCUCUCUUUAAAAAAAUUAUUUUUUUAUUAAUAUUCCAAAUGUUUACAAAUCCAAACAAAAAAGCAAUUCCAUAUAUAAAGAAAAAGAAGAUAUUACACUAAUGAAAUCACAAAUCUCCUAUAUGUUUAACUUACUUUUCUUUAUAUCUACAUAAAAGAUCCCAUCCACAAGUGUCCCAUCCCCUCUCCACCCUCUGUGCAUCACAUAGGAUAUCAUCAGGGAGGUUAAAUGUUUUUAUGUAAAUUAAGUCUUUCAUGUUUUAUCUUAAUGUUCAAUUUCUGGAGGUAACAUUCUCAAUUUAUUCUUCUAUUUUUUCUAUAGCUGUGAAUAAUGUUUUCCUGGUUCUAUUCAUUUCACUGUUCAUUAUCUUAUAUAUAGUUCUUCCAAGGUUUUUAAAAAUCAGUUUGUUCAUCAUUUCUCAUUUCACAGUAGUAUUCCAUCACAGUCAUAUAACACAAUUUGUUUAGCCAUUCCCCAGUUGAUGGGCAUCCCCUCGUUUUCAGUUCUUUGCCACCACAAAGAGAGCUGCUAUAAAUAUUUUGGAACAUGGAUUCUUUUACACUUUCCCUAAUCUCCUUAGGAAACAGACCCAGCAAUGUUAUUUUAUACACAGUAUACAUACUUUUAUAGUUCUUUGGGCAUGAUUCCAAAUUGCUCUCCAAAAUGGUUAGGUCAGUUCACAUUUCUACCAGCGAUAUAUUAAUAUUGCCACUUUUCCAUAUCUCCUCCAACAUUUGUCAUUUUGCCAUUUUGGCCAAUCUGAUAAGUGUGAGAUGAUAACCUCAGGAUUGUUUUGGUUUGCAUUUCUCUAAUUAGUAGUGAUUUGGAACAUUUUUCAUAUACCUGUAUAUGACUUUGAUUUCUUCAUCUGAAAAUUGACUUUUCAUAUCUUUUUGCCCCUUUGUCAAUUGGGGGAUGGCACUUAUUCUUAUAAAUUUGACAAAGUUCACUAUAUUUUGGAUAUGAGACCUCUAUAAGAUAGACUGUCUAUAAUUUUCCCCCCAAUUUUCUGCUUUCUGUCUAAUCUUGGUAGCGUUUAUUUUAUUUGUACAAAACCUUUUCAAUUUAAAGUAUUCAAAAUUAUUCAUGUUAUUCCCUAACCAUCUCUAAAGUAUAUUUCAAUUAAAAAAUACUUAUUAGGCACCUUCUAAAUACUUGUUCUAGAUCCUAAGAAUGUAAAGACAAAAAUGUAAAACAGUCCUUGCUGUCAAGGAACUUAUGUUCUGACAGCAUGCACAUAUGUAAGUAUAUGAAAAUAAGUACAUGUAGAAAAAAUAUACAAGAGAGUUAAAUAUAAGUUACUUAAUGAAGGGAAAGUUUUAACAGUUGUUGGAAUCAGGGAACAUUGUAAUGCUUGAGGUGUAUCUUUAAGGAAGUGGUGAGAGAUUUUAUGAAGUAGAGCUGAGAGAGUACAUCCCAUGGAUGGGGAACAACAUAGAAGGAAGGUGGAAGGAAUGCUGUGAAUGAGUGAAAGAAAAAAUUUUCAGUUUGUAUUAAAUUUGUAGAGUAUAGGAAAAAACUGGAAACACAAGUUGGGAACAAGUUGUAAAGGGUUUUAAAAUUUAAAAUUUUUAAUUUUUAUUUAAAUUUUAAAAUUCCUAUAGAGAGGUUUAUAUGUUGUAGUUAGAUCCUGUUUGCUGUGUAUCUCCCUAUUGUCUUUUAUCAGGGUUAUGAAGGCAAUCUCAUCUAUUCUUCUCUUUUUAAAAUUUGGAUCCAAUUCAUCCAUUUUGGCUUUCAUAGAUAAACAUAUUGGCAGAUGAGGUAGUCAUCCAACUUUUGUGUCUUAAUGUAACUGAUAGACUUUCUUCAUCCACUUCAUCUUUCAUGUGUGGAUGGACACUCUUGAGUGAUAAUGGAUCUCUUACUGGAGGCUGUAUUGUAUACUAGGGCUUAACUCAAUCAGCAUUAUAUUAUCUAUAAAGAAAACCAUUUGGAAGUCUUCAUCAUCCAAAAGGAAUUCUUCUUCAACCUGGACUUGGAAUCUUUUUGGAUCUUGCUCUAUUGCAGUGGUGAACACCUUUGAAUGCCAUAUUGUAAAAAAUGGAGACUUGAACUCAGGAUUCCAUUUCCCAGGAGUCCUUGCUCACUUCCCAAAAUGCCUUGUAACCUCACCUGGGCCGAGAGUGAGAUGGGGUUUUUAACCUGGCUGUAAAGGCUACUGGGUCUCUUUCCUACUUCUGCUUCCGAGCAGACUCAUCUCUUUCAUUAUGUAGGUGAGGUUGUCUAGGCCUCUCUGGGCCUAGUCAUGUGCUUUUCUUAUUCUGUAUUUUCCUUAAUCCUUAACCUCUGAAAAACCUCAUAAAUAUAUAAUACUCCUUGCAGAGAGAAACUUAAUUUCUACCUGCCUCAGUUUCCCCCCUAAAUUUUAAUUCUUACAGUUUUGUGUAACCACUUUGGGAAAACGAAAUAUCUCAAUCUUCUGAUUCUUUUCUCUACUAAAUUCAGCCUUUAAUAGCUAGUGCCUAGUUUUUUUUUUUUAAGCCAUGUUUCUCCAAGAUGCUUUUUUAGAAAGCCAUCUUGAUCAGCUCCUGCUGGCAGCCAUCCACUUUGGAUUUUCUUGAUUCAAUAUCAAUCACCUGGUCACUGCUCUUUCUCACCUGGUCCCUGUUCAACCCAGAUCUCGAUCACCUGGUGACCCGCCUGCUGGCCCCAGCAAAACUCUAGCCUUGGAGCAGAUCGCUCAGGACUCAUUUCUACCAGCUGGUAAAAAUGGGGUAAUUUUCCCUUAGGCUAAGAUUAAGCCUCCACGUGGGUGGUUCCUAGGAGGGGAGAGAGAAAAAGGGAAAGAAGAAAGGUUUUUUUCCAAGCAGGAAGUUAAAAACAUAGCUAUUUUACAAAGAUAUCUUUUAAUUGCAUUGAUCCUUUUAUUGACUUCACCUGCGUGUCAGGGAAAAAAUUCAGCUCUGUACAACAUUUUAGCUAAAUUUGGGGAGGCAGCUGGGUAUCUCAGUGGACUGAGAGCCAGGCCUAGAGACAGAAGGUCUUUGGUUGGAAUCUGGCCUCAGACACUUGCUGGUGGUGUGGCCCUGAGCAGGUCAUUUAACCCCCAUUGCUUAACCGAUUUCCUGCCUUCUGACAAUAGGCAUCUAAAUGGAUAAAAAAACCCAAGGAACUUUAAAGAGACUGGAGGUUAUAUUUUUGAGGCAUUUCAGACUCAAAUGGUUUAUACAAAUCUCUGUAUUCUAUUGCUUUUUACUGUUUGCUUUGUUUAAGGUUUAACUUUGUGAUUUUAAAUUCAUAUAUUACUGCAUUCAAUAUUAUUCUGUUAUACUGAAUCAUUUAAUGUACUGAGUUUUAACUACUGUUAAAUUCUGUUGCUUUUCCCCUAUAACUAUAUUGAACAAAUAUCAUUGUACUUAAACCCAUAUAUGAAAAAACAAGUAUUUCUAUUUUUGCCUUUGUAAAUUGUCACAUAGAGGAUAGAUGGACUCCAUCAGAACUGGUUACAAUUGCUAUAACAACCUUUGGAAAAUUUAAAGAGCUAAAUAUCUCAAUUGAUUUUAAGUUUUUUUUUUUUUUAAACAUGAUUUUUAACAAUCUGGUCAUUUUUGCCUGCCCCUAACACGAGGUGUAAGGCCCAUUCUAGUAGCUGAAGUAAAAUACAUUUUAUAAACCCCAACCUUACCACAUUUCUAAAUACGUGAAUGAAAGUUGGGGCAGUUAAUCUCAGGGCAUUUGUAUCCCUAAAAAGCCUCCAAAAAAGGAGCACCCCUCAUUUAUACUCUUCAGCUCACUACUUUACUUCCACCAGAAUAAUAUCUAGAUUUCUUGAUGAUGUUCUAAACCCAAAAUGAGUUUUACUUUGUUUAAAAAUGUGUUUAUUACCAAUAUUGAAAGAUUGCUAUGUUUGUAAAAACUUGUGACAAAUUUCCAUCGGUUCAUAGACUUUUAAAAAAUGCCAUACAGCAACUUAUGUAAAAUAUGAUAGAGUUUGUUUGCUAUUGUGCUUAAUUGGGCUAUUGAGAAUUUUGGGGAUAUUGAUAACUACGUAUUUGUACUACUGUUCUUUAACAAUGAAAAGUGUUACCUUGCUCAAUUCAUUUGCUUUCACUCACAGUGGAUCAUGGCCAGAUAUGAAGAGGAAAUGGAUCUUAUUUUUGGACAAGAUAUACACAAAAGAGCCAUUGCACAGGGCCAAAGAAAACCCAAUCCAGGAUGGAUUGAUGCACUUCUAAGCCAAUGCAAAGAUUUUGAACCUAGUGUUGAAGACUCGAGGUUACUGUGUUUAACAUUGUUAGACAUAGGCUUUCCUUGUGUCUACACUCACUCUGAAAAUACUCACAGAUGAGUAUCCCCAAACUUGGCACCUACUUGGCUUUUAUAAUCUGGUCCCUUUUCUGUCUUUCAUAGUGUGGUAACUUUCUGUAGUUCUGGCUACUGACUGGGUAAAUGCAUCAUUGCUUCGAUCAUUUUAAUUGGGCCCUGAUUCAAGGACCUGUUAUAGAUUUAUUUUUCUUUUACUUGGAGUUUUUACACAUGAGACUUUGAUUGUCUAUAUUUUCAUCCAGUAUUUUCUUUUUUAUUUGGAUUUUUCUGAUAUCUUUUUAAUUUCUCUUACCAAUUGAUUCAUUUACCUCAUACCUCAGCCUUGCAUCCCUAAGUGAUCCUGUUUUUUGUUUUUUUUUCAAUCACCCACAACACGGGGAAAUGUAAAAAAUAUUAUUUAAAUGGCAAAGUUUAAAUUACUUUUGAGAAGAAUUUUAGGUAAAGAAAGAUGUUACCUCUCUGAUUCCAGAAACUGAACUUUUGGAGAAGACACCAUGAAGAAGCCUCCAGACCACAAGCUGCACAAGAAUGAACUUUGGGUGUAGUUGAUUGAACAUUUAUUUUGUAUGUAUACUUUCAUGCCAAAGGGGACUGCCCCCAACUGGCUUUUUGUCAAUGCGUCCAGCAAUUAUUGGUUUUAUUUCUUUUCUCUUAUCUUCAAAUUAUUGUAAUCUUUAAGUUGAUUAUGUUUUUAUGAUCCUUUGGGGAAGUCCUUCCCAAAUGAUCACACAAGGAAAUGUAAAAAUGGAAACUUGAACUCAGGACUCCCAUUUCCCAGGGGUCCUUGUUCACUUCCCAAAAUGCCUUGCAACCUCAACUGGGCUGAGAGCGAGAUGGGGUUUUUAACCUGGCUGUAAAGGCUACUGGGUCUCUUUCCUACUUCUGCUUCUGAGCAGACGCAUCUCUUUCAUUAUGUAGGUGAGGUUGUCUAGGCCUCUCUGGGCCUAGACAUGUGCUUUUCUUAUUCUGCAUUUUCCUUAAUCCUUAACCUUUAAAAAACCUCAUAAAUAUAUAAUACUCCUUGCAGAGAGAAACUAAUUUCUACCUGCCUCAGUUUCCCCCCUAAAUUUUAACUCUUACAAUAUCUUACUGCCUCAUAUUGAGAUUUAUGAUUAAAGGGUUAUUGACCAAGGGUUACAGUUUUCAUACCUUUAAAGAAACCUUAAACACUUUUCAUGUUUGAAUGGGGACUACUUUGUUAGAGGAGAACUAUUAAUGUGACUUUUGUUAAAUUGAAUUAAAUACCUUUUUACAAUAUAUAAACAAUAAGCAGAGUGGGAUCUUGUAUGCCCUACAUCUUUCUCUGUAGGCAGAUACAUAUGAUUAUAUUUUGACCAGAAAACACUUGUUAUUGUUGAAGGCUCAUAUUUGAAUCAUUUGCCUGUAUAAAAACAGACUACUAACUUUUUAGAGCAAAGAUGGCCAUUAGUAUAAAACCAAAUGAUAUUAUUUUGUACUCACCAUUGUCAGGACUGUAAGGAUAAUUUUAGGGUUGUGACUUAAAUCUAAAUUAAUUUUGGUCAAAAUCUGAAAUAAAAUACCCAAGUCAGCUGGAAAUUUAUGGUGAUUUUAAUUGAUAUAGAGGAAAGGAAUUAAGGAGAAGAGAGAGAAGGAGGGUAUAUGAUCUCUCUUGCCUGGCCUGUGCCAGGGGAAGUUCAAAGUCCUCUGCCACUAGGACUUUGAAGAUUAGAGGCUUUCUCUGAGAGGAUAGUGUUUGGAAGAUAAAGGAGAAAGGAAUCAGCUUAAACUCCAAGAGAGCUCAGCUAGGCUACUCAGCUUCUUCCAGUAUAGUAUCAAGGAAAACUCACUGCUAAACAGGACAAUAGCUGCUGCCAUGCCAAGAUGCCAAGACACUCAGCAAGCUGCCACCAGCCACAUCUCCACCACCAAAGAGGCUGGAGAGAGGAAGUGAUGUGAAAUAUAUAGACGGUUUUACAUCACUUUUCUGCGUCUCACCUGUACCAAUGGUAGCUUAAGCUUGACUUAGGACAGCCCAGGGGUCUGUCAGUUGUUUCUGAUUUGUCAUUUGCUAGCACAUGUCUAUCAUAGGCCAUCUUCCUAGAUACUUAAUCCUUAAGUAUGGGUGUUGACAUUCCUGAUUUUGUUAGACUAAGUAGGAUGGAGUAAUUUAAAGUUCACAAUACCUAUCCUUCACCAAUUCUUUUCUUAAAGAAAAUAAUCAUUAUGUAAAGGUGUGAGGCUUCUGUGCAGCCUGGUUUGUGAGAUUUCUUAUCUUUUUCUUGAUAAAUGCAUUCUGAUAUAUUUCUUACCAUCUUUACUUACUCUCACCUUAACUUGAAAUCAUUGAGCAUCAACAUGUGUGUUGAUUUAAUUUUGAAAGUCAUUAAAUUCUUUGUAGAAGUGCUCUCCCUUUCAUCUUCUGUGACCAGUAUUGUUAAACUAAUUAUUUUUAUGAUGGUCUUUUUUGCAAAUAUUUUACUGCAUUGCAAUAUGAGAUGACCCUGUAUUCAAUGAAAUGGUAUUUUAUAUUGGCUUUAGGUUUUCAAUAAUGUCAGUUUUGUCAACUUUUUUCAUGCCUUUUUCCAAGUGUGACUGACCCAUCCAUGUGCUUAAGUAACAUAACUCUUUAAAACUACUAGAGUAGUAACAACAAAUCAAUUAUUCCAUGAGACAGCAUGAAACAUCAGAACAAAAUAAGAUUUAAAAAAUAGAAGAUAUAAAGUAUUUUGUACGAAAAACAACUGACCUGCAAGACAAGUCAAAGAAGGUAACUUACAAGUCAUAGGACUCCCCAAAGCCAUAAUUUAAAAAAUAAACAGACUUGGAACUUAUUUGUAGAAAUCAUAAAUGAAAAUGGCCCAGUUCCAUUAGAACCAGAGGGCCAAAUGAAGGUAGAAUUUACUUCCUUAAAGGAAACCAAAAGGAAAAUUAUUAGGAAGGUUAAUGCCAAAAUAUUGAGCACCUGAAUCAAAGAAAAAAUGCUACAAAGGAUCGGGGGCAGGGAGUAGUGGGGAGGAAUCGAUUCAGUUUCCAAGGAAUUAUAAUCAGGAUCACAAUAUCUGACAAUUUUUAUAAGAGGAGAUCUUAGAAUAUGUUAUUCUAAAAGAUAUAUGGCUUAAAACCAAGAAUAGUUCACCCUACAAAGCAUUUGUGAUGGAAAGAUUAGUGUUGAGUAGGAACAUUUAUAUAUAAACACAAGUCCAGAGAAAUCAAGAAAGGCAAAUUUAUUUGAGCAGUUGGAAGGUAACUGAUGUAUUACAAACAUUGUAAUAGAGGAAGAAGAAACAAGUCUCUUCAGAAUCUUAAUGUCUGAGAAAAACAAAAAUCCUUUUGAAGGUGGAUAGAUUGUUUCUGUUCUGAGAAUAUUUGGAGAAGAAAAAAGGAACAUACUAGCAUGUAAAGGAGAAGGAAGAAGGGGGAAUUUAUUAAUAAUUUGGGUUCAUUAGGAUAUACAAACAUGGAGGAAGCAGUGGACAAAGGUGUCAGAUGAACCUUAGUCUUAAUUAAAAUUUUCUUUUUGUGAAUUGGGGAGAUCCAUUAGGAGAGAUGAGGGUUUAGCUGCAGAAAUAUCUUUUCUUUUUCUUUUCAUCUUUUUUUUAAUACUUCUCUAUUUGGUUCUAAGGCAUAAGAGAAGUAAGGGCUAGGCAAUUGGGGUUAAGGGACUUCCUUGGGUCAGACAACUAGGAAGUCUGAGGACAGAUUCUUGGCUCUUUAUCUACUGAGCCAUCUAGCUUCCUUGGGUCUUUUUUAAAAGUGUCAUUGUAAUGUUUUUUAAAAAUACAUAGAAGAGUGGAGGCAGCUCUAUGGCUCAGUGGAUUGAGAGCCAUGCUUAGAGACCAGAGGUCCAAGGUUCAAAUACAUUUCCUAGCUAGCUGUAUGACCCUGGACAAAUCAUUUAACCCCAUUGCCUAGUCCAUACCUCUUUUCUGCCUUAGAACCAAUACACAGUAGUGAUUCUAAGAUUGAAGAUAUGGUUUUAAAAAAUUACAUAGAAGUGAAUAGAAGGAAGUUCAGAAAUAAGCAUAAACCAAGCAGGAUGGUUUUCUGUUUUUGUUUUUAAAAUAUGUAUUUUUAAAAUUUUAAAAUCAUAUUAAUAUUAAUAUAAACAUCAUAUUUUAGUGAAAAUAAUUUCUAAAACAAAAAAUUAUGAGGGCUUUUUUGCACAUACCUUUUUUUAAAAAACCCUUACCUCUGUCUUAGAAUCACUUUGUUUUGUAUUCUAAGGCAGAAGAGUGGUAAGGGCUAGGCAAUGGGGGUUAAGUGACUUGCCCAGGGUCACACAGCUAGGAAAUGUCUAAGGCCAGAUUUAAACCCAGGACCUCCUGUCUCUAGGCCUGGCUCUCAAUCCAUUGAACUACCUAGCUGCCCCAACAAGUAUCUUUCAUGUUAGUCAGUAAUCAUUUAUUUUUUUGCUCUUAUUUUAUUUUUAAUAUCAUACAGAAUACACUUCCAUAUUGGUUGUUGUUGUAAGAGCACACUCAUAUAAAACCCAAACCCCAAAAUAAAACUUUAAAUACACUAAUGUGAAAGAAUGCUUUGAUCUGCAUCCAUCAGAGACUCCAACAAUUCUGUCUUUGGAAGUGGAUAGCAUUCCCUGUCUUAAGUCUUUCAGGAUUGUCCUAGAUCAUUGCAUUGCUGAGAGUAGGCAAGUUUUCACCAUUGAUCAUAGUACACAUUGCUGUUUAUUCAAUACAAUGUUAUCCUGUUCUGCUUGUUUCUCUCUACAACAGUUCAUUCAGAUAUUUCCAGCUUUUUUCUAAUAUCCUGUUUAUCAAUUUCUUAUUGAUGAACAUCCCCAUAAUUUCUAGUUCUUUGCCACCACAGAAAGAGCUGCUAUAAAUAUUUUUAUUCAUGUUGGUCCUCUCCCCUUUUUUUGUUAUUAAAAGGAUAUGCAUUGUUUUAUAGCCCUUUGAGCAUAACUCCAAAUUGCACUCCAUAAUGGUUUGGUGGCUUUGGUGGUCCAAUUUUGCCAUACUCCUUCUAAUAUUUGUCACUUUACUGUCAUAUUGGCAAUGAUAGGUAUGAGGUGGUACUUCAGCAUUUUCUUUUUUUAAACCCUUACCUUCUGUUUUAGAAUCAAUGUGUAUUGAUUUUAAGGCAGAAGAAUGGUAAGGGCUAGGCAAUGGGGGUUAAGUGACUUGCCUAGGGUCACAAGUGUCUGAGGCCCGUUUUGGACCUAGGACCUCCUAUCUCUGGGCCUUGCUCUCAUUCCACUGAGCCACCCAGCUGCCCCCUUCAGCUUUGUAUUUCUCUAAUCAGGAGUGAGUUAGAACAUUUUUUCAUAUUAUUGAUAGCUUUGAUUUCUUUAUCUGAAAAUUGUUCAUAUCCUUUGACCCUUUGUCAACUGGAGAAUGGCUUGUAUUCUUAUAAAUUUGACUUGUUUCUUUAUGGAUUUGAGAAUUUUGUUAUAAAGAUUUUUCCCCCAGUUGUUUUCCUUCUACUCUUGGUUACAUUAAUUUUUUGUUUGUUUGUUUAAAAAUGUUUCUAUUUAAUAUAAUAAAAAUUAUUCAUUUUAUAUCUUAUAAUGUUUUCUAUAUCUAAAUCAUAUACCUGUUUUGACCUUAUCUUGCUAUAGGGUGUAAGAUAUUAGUCUAUACCUAGUUUCUGCCAUACUGUUUUCCAAAGUAGUACAGUUUUGAAAGUAAUAUGUAAAAUAUAUUCCAUAUUUAAAAAAAUAAGGCAAGACCUGUGAAAUGGAGACUCAUGGUAGAAUCUAGUUUAUUUUUAUUGUUUGUUUAGAAAUCUUUUCUUUUUUGGUUGUUGAAUUUAGAGUUUAAGAAAAUAAAUGUCAUAUGAUUCAAUUCCUCCAAUGGUAUAACUUUCUUCUUGGUCAUUAGAAAAGGAUCUUACAUUUAGAGUUAUAGCAGACAUCUUAAAAAGUAUAAAUGGUCUGGAAAUGGUAUAAUUCUUAGUAUCCUCUCCUUUAUUUUCUGGUACUCUUGUCACUACUCACUGUAGAAUUGGAAGGUUAUGCAGUACUGAGGACUAUUUUUCUUUUUCUUAGUUUUAACUAGGCUUGACCUUGUAAAGCAAAGUUGGUCUUUUGUUUCAGAGGACCAUACUUUUGAAGCAUUUUUAGUAUGCUACUUCCAGAACUUUUGCUAUCCAGGCCAGUCAUCAAGGACUAAGUAUUUACUUCCACACUAUGAGAGACAGUGGCAAAGGAUUUUAUGGAGGAUUUAUAUAAAGUUCCAUAAUGUAUUUGCACCUCACACUUUCUAAAGAAGACUUAGAUUCUUACCCACUCUUUUUUCAGGUUAAUGACUUUGUUCCCUUAGUUUAAGAAAUCACCAACUAACCCUUUUUGAGCAGUGAUAAUGAUUUCUGAAGCAGAGGGCCUUCAGGCUAAGGAUAUCUUCCAAAUGUUGCUUCUUCUUGGAUGGUAAUGAAUCCAUAACUGACCAGUGCUACUCCUCAAUUUGAUGCUUGCUAGAAUAUGUUAGUGAGUUUAUUUAGACUUGAAUUGGAGCUCCCUAAACAUAAUCAGUAAAAUUGAUUGUCUUCUGUAUGCCAGAUAUUGUGCUAGCUUCUGGAGAUGCAAAGAUAGAAAUGAAAUAGUCCCUGUUCUUAAGGAACUUAUAUUCUAGUAAGGGAGAGAAUGUGUACAAAUAUAAGUAUAUACUAUAUAUGUAUGUGUAUAUAUAUAUAUGAUAAAUACAAGAUAAUUUUUUUUUCAGUGAGGAAUGGAGUAUUAAAGAGAUUCAUAAGUAGGUCUAGAUUGGACUAAGAGGCUGGUUGGGCUAGCAGACUGUUUUGGUUCCCAUCUAGUUCUUAAUCUGAAAUUCUAUGCUAGGGUUAAUUCUUGAUUUUGGCAUUCCUAGAAAUUUUCAUUUAGGAGAUUAGCCAAAUAUUCUGUGAAAUUCAAGGGAAAGUUUCCUCCCCCACCCCUUCUAAUCAACUCUAGAAGUAAAUUAACAAAGAAAACAAUUUUAACAGUUGUAAUGUGGCAAUUUUAUUGCUUCAUCUUUAAUGCCAUCCUUUUCUCUUGAGUCCCUUGCUCCCUUAUCAUAUUGAUUCUGCUUCACCAAGCCUUGUCCUUAGAUUACUGUUACCAUCUACUACUUUCACUCCUACACAUGCACCACUCAGUGAAGGUGGAGAAAAAAACAGUGAACCAUUGUGGCAGAGUCUAUUAUUAAUUUGUUUACAUGACUAUGUGAGACUAAAAAUGAAUGAAUACUCCAAGUAUUUAAAAUUUAUAGAAUUUAAUAACAACAAAGUGAGAGAGAAAAGGGUUCCUUCAUCCAAGUGAGCAGAGCACAGAGCCAGAGACCCACACCUGUCAUGCUGAAGUCAAAGCAAAAGCCCCCAAAGCCCCACAGUGUGGGUUUCAGCAAAAUUUAUAAACAAACCCAUGCCAGGGUGCAACACAGGACACAGACAAGGGGACCCCGGGAAGAGUAAAGAAUGCUGGGAAAUGAAGUCUCCUGGCCACAAUAUUUUUAAAAACCCACAACUUCAAUGGAGCACUCAAUGCUGCUAGGGAAUCUUUCUGUAUAUACUUCACUGAAUAACUAUAGCUGCUCUUCCAAACCUUUUAAUUCCUCUUCAAAAUCUAGUGGCUCCCCUCCCUCCACCUUCACAAUCAAUAAUCUUGUCUCUUAUUUUUACAGGAAAAGAUUGAAGCCAUUGUGUAUAUCUUCUCCCAUUUCAUUUCACUCAGACACCUUUUGCCACUAUUUCCUCCUUCAUCUCUAUCUCACUUGAAUAAGUAGCCUUCCUCUUUCUAAUGCAAACGUCCAGAGCAGCACAAGUUAUCCCAUUCAUUCCCAUCUCCUCCAACAAACUGCCCCCAUCAUCCCACUCUCACUGCUCUUCAAUCCUCCCUGUCUAUUGGCUGCUUCCCUAAAAUUGCCUAAAAAUAUGCCUUUGUCUCCUUUGUUCUAAUAAGAACUUGACGUGAUCCUUCUAUCUCUGCUAUCGUCCCAUAUCUCUCAACCUUCUGACUAUAGGUCCUCUUCACAGCGCUCAACAUUCUUUCUUGCACUUCCAUCUUUCAAAAUUGCUCUCUCCAAAGUUAUCAGUGAUCUCUAAUUGCCGAAUCCAGUGACAUUCUCCCAAUCCUCCUCUUUCUUUUUUCCCCCCUCUUUCUUGACCUUUAUUCAGCUUUUGCAUAUGCUUAUACUCAAUUUUUAAAAAAUUGUUUUGCCAAUCCUGUGGAAUUGCUCAUUGGCUCCGGGAGGAGGGAGAGAAGAGUGGAGAGAAAGAACUUGAAUUAUGUAACCAUGGAAAAAUAUUAUAAAUGAAUUAAAUUUAAAAAAAUUCUCAUUUAAAAAUAGUUUUACCAUUAUGGCUAGUAUUUUAUAGAACUGUAUCAAAAGAUGUUAACUUUUUCUUGCUUUAUCCCUAAUGAAAAUGUCAUUUGAUGGAUAUAUAUUAUUAAUGCUGGUUUAUGGUGAUCUAAUAUGAUGUCAUUUACUAUUUAUUUCUUGUAUCUAUUUUUUACUUUUAUUGUAUCUGAGAUAAUUGUUAUUCCUGAUUUUUUGAGUUCACUUGAAGUAUACUAGAUUUUGCUUCAGUAUCCUAUUUGAAAUUAUUGUGAAUCUUUCUGCCUUAUAUGCCUUUUGUAAGUGAAAUACUCUUCAGUAUUCUGCAAUUCUUUCCAGUUUUAUGGAUGAAUUAAUUCCAUUUACAUUGACAUAGUAAUGAUUGUUAAUUGUUUAUUUUUCUUGAUUCUAUUCUCUCAUACUUUCAAAGUACUACAACUAUAGACUUCAGACUCUCUUUGGACAGAUCUCUUUAACCUUCACUGAGUUCAUACCUCCCUCCUCAAAGAUUUCCAGGCUUGCUCCUGACUCUUAAGAUAAAAGGAUUUCCUGAGGUAUGAUCUGGGCCAAAUUUUUCUGGCUAGAAUCCUUUCUUUAGUGUCCAUAGGCUUAUGGAGUAGUUCUGAAAGAGAUUGGUUGCUUUGCUUCCUCUCAUUCACCAUCUUGUUGUGAUUCCCUUUGUCAGGUAUCUUGUAGUGAUUCUUUUGUCAGAAUUAACAAUCUCUUUUGAUUUGAGUUUUCUGUAUAUAUUGUUCCAGUGCCCUUAAUUUUAUUAUUUUUCUGUUUAUAGAGCAGAGAUAGUUAAUAAGAAGGAAUGCUGUAAUGUAUUAAAAUAUUUUUGUUUUGAGAGGUUUUUGCCUCAUAAAAUCAUUUGAUUUUUUAAAAUUAUUUUUCAGAACCAAAUAUUUGAUUACUAAUAUUGGAAAAAGUAAAAGUCAUAGCUUCAGUUUUAAAAAUAUACACUUACAUGUUACUACUGAAUAGCUUGAACAUGUUUUCAGUUAAGAACAAAAUCAGAACAAUUAUACAUUUAGUCUUAAAAUUUUAAUGGUAUUAACCUUAUGAACACAGAGCACAGUUUUUAAGUGACAAUGAUGAACAGAUGGUAGAAGAGGAUGCAUAAUUGACUUUCAGGCUAUUUAGACUUAAAUACAGAACCACUAAAGGUAUCAAGUUUCUGUUUCUGAUAGAUUCUAGUAAUUGAAUAAAUAGAGAUGUGAUCCUUAGUUGCACAAAAAUCCAAGUAAUGUUUUUAAAAAGCCAAUUUUUAUUUUUCAACCUGGUCUCUUAAUGUUCUUUUUUUAGGCUAAUUUUUUGAAGUCAGUACAGUAGUAGAUAAUUCAAUUAUUUUUUGUCUCAGUUGACAUUAAUGUAACAUGCCAUAAGUAGGUUGCUACUAAAAGCCAAAUUGCUUGAAGCUGUAUUUUACUGCCAUGUUGUCUAUUGACAUAGGCAGACUUGCUAAUUGAUUCAUUUUCUACUUUAUAAAAUGAGAUUUUUAGAGUAUUUCAAUUCAUUUUUUUGAAAAGAUAUGAUAUUUAAAUAGCCUUUGAUAUUAUAUUUUAUGUACAUAUUCAGUAAUUCAUCUUGUAUUUUAAGAGAAGAGUCUUUACUGAAAAUGAAAUUGCUUUAAUCUAAACAUUUAAGUGCCUGCUGAAUGCAAGGUAGUACCUAUUCUAGGUAGUUGGGAUAUAAAAGUUAAAAAAAUUGAUAAUGAGUUUGUAAUCGUCUAUGUAGAAGUUAUAGUUGAACCUAUGGAAGUAAAUUAAACCAGUCAAUAAAUGAACAUUUAUGAGAUGCCUGCAUUAAGUUGCUGAACUAGAUGCUUGGUUGUUAGUUAUUCAGAUCACUUAAAGGGGAAAGAAGAUUCAAAGAACUGAUCAAAUGGCUUAGAGGCCAGGGCAAAGCAAUGUUACAGAAACCACAAAAGGAGAGAAUAUCCUAGAAGAGAACUUGGUGAUCAGGAUUAUCAGACUUUUUGUUGCUGUAAAGUUUAGGAAUUGAUAACUGAGAAGAGACCAUUUAACUUAAUUAAAAAAUCACUGAUGACCUUUGAGAGAACAGUUUAGUGGAUUAUUAAGAUUAAAUUAGCAUGGGAAAGGUGUGUGGCUCAGUGGAUUGAGAGCCAGGUCUAGAUAUGGGAGGUCCUAGGAUCAAAUCUGGCCUAGACACUUCCUAGCUGUGUGAACCUGGGCAAGUCACUUAACCCCCAUUGCCUAGCUCUUACCACUCUUCUACCUUGGAACCAAUACCCAGUCUUGAUUGUUAAGACAGAAGGUAAGGGUUUAAAUAAAAAGUGAAAAAAGGUUAAAUUAACAUAAAAAGAAAUUGAUGAAAAAUUAAAGAUAUGGAAACAGCAAAUGCAGGCUACUCUUAAGAAGUUAUUAGUGGAAAUGGGAAGAGAGAUCGUAAAUAAAGGCUAGAGCAAGUAGAAGAGGAAUGGUCAAUUAAUAAACAAUUAUUAAAUGCCUGCUAUGUCUCAGGUGCUGGGCUAUGUGCUGGGGAUACAAAAGGCAAAAGACACUUAUUGGAUGAAUUCAUCCCAUUCACAUUCAGAGUUAUAAUUAUAAGUUGUGUGUUGCUCUUCCAUUCAGUUUCUCCUCCUUGUCUUUUCUUCCUCUCUUUUUGUACUAUACCUCCACAGAGGUCUUAUUUCUUUGGACCAUUCCUAAUCAACACCCCUCUAAAAAUUCUUCCUUAUCCCCCUCACCUUGCCCUCUUAUUUCUUAAUAUGAACUGCUGUCUUAAGAAUCCCUCCCUUAUUUUAUCCUGUCUUCUUUUCUCUUAAUCUGCACACCCUUUUUUUAAAAAAAUAUAUUUUAUUUGAUCAUUUCCAAGCAUUAUUCGUUAAAGACAUAGAUCAUUUUCUUUUCCUCCCCCCCACCCCCC